UGGGGAAUAUUGCGCAAUGGGGGAAACCCUGACGCAGCUAUGCCGCGUGGGUGAUGAAGGCCUUCGGGUCGUAAAGCCCUGUCGGAGGGAACGAAGGCGCAAGCUUGACGGUACCCUCCAAGGAAGCACCGGCUAACCUCGUGCCAGCAGCCGCGGUAAUACGAGGGGUGCAAGCGUUGCUCGGAUUUACUGGGCGUAAAGCGACCGCAGGCGGUUUGACAGGUCCGACGUGAAAGCCCGGGGCUCAACC
rnacentral:rRNA from 1 species